GGGAAUAACCCCGGGAAACCGGGGCUAAUGCCCAAUACGCCCUGACCUCGCCUGAGGUCAGCGGCAAAGCAGGGAUCUUCGGAUCCUUGCACAGUCCGAUGGGCCCGCGGCGCAUUAGCUAGUUGGAGAGGUAAGGGCUCCCCAAGGCGACGAUGCGUAGCCGACCUGAGAGGGUGAUCGGCCACACUGGGACUGAGACACGGCCCAGACUCCUACGGGAGGCAGCAGUAGGGAAUCAUCCGCAAUGGGCGAAAGCCUGACGGUGCAACGCCGCGUGAGUGAUGAAGGUUUUCGGAUCGUAAAGCUCUGUUGACAGGGAAGAACCCACGCCAGUCGAACAGGCUGGCGUGCUGACGGUACCUGUCCAGAAAGCCCCGGCUAACUACGUGCCAGCAGCCGCGGUAAUACGUAGGGGGCAAGCGUUGUCCGGAAUUAUUGGGCGUAAAGGGCACGCAGGCGGUUUCGUCAGUCCGAUGUGACAGGCCACGGCUCAACCGUGGAAGGCCAUUGGAAACUGCGAAACUUGAGGACAGAAGAGGAGAGUGGAAUUCCACGUGUAGCGGUGAAAUGCGUAGAUAUGUGGAGGAACACCAGUGGCGAAGGCGACUCUCUGGUCUGUACCUGACGCUGAGGUGCGAAAGCAUGGGGAGCANCAGGAUUAGAUACCCUGGUAGUCCAUGCCGUAAACGCUGAGUGCUAGGU
rnacentral:rRNA from 1 species